rnacentral:rRNA from 1 species
GAUGAACGCUGGCGGCGUGCCUAAUACAUGCAAGUCGAGCGAACAGACGAGGAGCUUGCUCCUCUGACGUUAGCGGCGGACGGGUGAGUAACACGUGGAUAACCUACCUAUAAGACUGGGAUAACUUCGCGAAACCGGAGCUAAUACCGGAUAAUAUAUUGAACCGCAUGGUUCAAUAGUUAAAGACGGUUUUGCUGUCACUUAUAGCUGGAUCCGCGGCGCAUUAGCUAGUUGGUAAGGUAACGGCUUACCAAGGCAACGAUGCGUAGCCGACCUGAGAGGGUGAACGGGCACAGUGGAGGAGAGACAGAGUCCAGACACGUGGGGGAGGAAGCGGUGGGGAAUAUUAGGGGAUGGGCGAGAGCGUGAUAGAGGAAUGUGGCGUGUGUGAAGAAGGUCUACGGAUGGUAGAGCGAUGUAAGUUGGAAGGAAGGAAAGUAAGGUUAAACCUGGGUGUUAUGACGUUACCAAGAGAAUAAGCACCGGCUAACUCCGUG